rnacentral:misc_RNA from 1 species
AACCCCUUUAAACCCUUUGUCUUUAUGAACUUUAGCUUCAAUUACAAAUUUAUCAACAGCAUCUUCAGCACGAUUCACCACUUUUCUGAUACUCCUCACUAGUUCUUUGAGAACUGGGUUUUCGCUGCGGACCAUUGCAGCUUGCUUGAGAAAGGCAUUGAAUUCACUCAAAUCAUCACGCAGAUUCUCGAUUUCAUCUUUAGCUCCUCCGAUUAACUCCACAUUGUCCAGUACCAAUUGCUUCAAGUUCUCUAACAGAAAUUCAACCCCUACA